GCCUGGGUGGCUCAGUCAGUUAAGCGUCCGACUUCGGCUCAGGUCAUGAUCUCAUGGUUCGUGGGUUCGAGCCCCACAUCGGGCU
rnacentral:tRNA from 1 species